ACGAUCCGUAGCUGGUCUGAGAGGAUGAUCAGCCACAUCGGGACUGAGACACGGCCCGAACUCCUACGGGAGGCAGCAGUGGGGAAUAUUGGACAAUGGGGGAAACCCUGAUCCAGCCAUGCCGCGUGUGUGAAGAAGGCCCUCGGGUUGUAAAGCACUUUCAGCGAGGAAGAACGCCUAGCGGUUAAUACCCGCUAGGAAAGACAUCACUCGCAGAAGAAGCACCGGCUAACUCCGUGCCAGCAGCCGCGGUAAUACGGAGGGUGCAAGCGUUAAUCGGAAUUACUGGGCGUAAAGCGCGCGUAGGUGGCUUGAUAAGCCGGUUGUGAAAGCCCCGGGCUCAACCUGGGAACGGCAUCCGGAACUGUCAAGCUAGAGUGCAGGAGAGGAAGGUAGAAUUCCCGGUGUAGCGGUGAAAUGCGUAGAGAUCGGGAGGAAUACCAGUGGCGAAGGCGGCCUUCUGGACUGACACUGACACUGAGGUGCGAAAGCGUGGGUAGCAAACAGGAUUAGAUACCCUGGUAGUCCACGCCGUAAACGAUGUCGACCAGCCGUUGGGUGCCUAGCGCACUUUGUGGCGAAGUUAACGCGAUAAGUCGACCGCCUGGGGAGUACGGCCGCAAGGUUAAAACUCAAAUGAAUUGACGGGGGCCCGCACAAGCGGUGGAGCAUGUGGUUUAAUUCGAUGCAACGCGAAGAACCUUACCUACUCUUGACAUCCUGCGAAUUUGGUAGAGAUACCUUAGUGCCUUCGGGAACGCAGAGACAGGUGCUGCAUGGCUGUCGUCAGCUCGUGUUGUGAAAUGUUGGGUUAAGUCCCGUAACGAGCGCAACCCUUGUCCUUAUUUGCCAGCGCGUAAUGGCGGGAACUCUAAGGAGACUGCCGGUGACAAACCGGAGGAAGGUGGGGACGACGUCAAGUCAUCAUGGCCCUUACGAGUAGGGCUACACACGUGCUACAAUGGUCGGUACAAAGGGUUGCCAACUCGCGAGAGUGAGCCAAUCCCGAAAAGCCGAUCUCAGUCCGGAUCGGAGUCUGCAACUCGACUCCGUGAAGUCGGAAUCGCUAGUAAUCGUGGAUCAGAAUGCCACGGUGAAUACGUUCCCGGGCCUUGUACACACCGCCCGUCACACCAUGGGAGUGGACUGCACCAGAAGUGGUUAG
rnacentral:rRNA from 1 species